rnacentral:lncRNA from 1 species
UCUUGGGUUGCAAGGGAUUUUUCUUCAAGCAAAUGAUUUUUCUUUCAAGUACAGAUUUGAUGUAUGUCGCUCAGAUUAUCUAGCACUCGUUUGAUACAAUGUCUCACUAGUUGUAUGCCCUCCUUCUAUCCCUGACUAGUUGCACAAGUAGAUCUAUAUAGGCCCCUAUGCUUGUUUGCAGUAGAAUGAAGAGAGUUAUUUUGGUUCGAUCAAAGUAUACUAAAGAUUGAGUUACACGGUGAAUUUAUACAAUGAUGAAUGGUGAAGGCUUGUCAACCCACGGGUUUUGAUCCUUGGAAAGUGUUGAUUUCUUUCCAAGAAUAAAGAUUUAUCCGUUCCUUCUCUUUAGAUCUUUUCCUUAGGCAGAUAACCGUUUUGACACGAUUCUUCCUUGAUUCUUGGACUUUCCAAUCUUGACCGCUGUCUGUAUCUUCCAUAUUUAAUUGUUGUUCAAUAAAUUGAUCUGACUCGUCAAUCACGAAUUGCGUUGAAUCUUUAUUCCGUUAGGACAUAUUUGAUUUCCCAGAUUUAUGGAGCUAAUCUUGAUUUUCUUAUGUAGUACUAUUUCUUUCCUUGUGCAUAGUAAGAAUUUCAGGCAGCUUCCCUUGUGAAUAAUUUCCUUCCAUAUUCAACAUAGACGUUCCAAUAGUCCCUUUUUACUUCUUUGAAUUCAUGUACAUGCAUAUUAAUUGCAUCAUUAAAAUAUGAUCUAACAAUAUCGCAUUUUUUGAUGAUGGCAAAAUAAUAUGCAUAUAUGUAAGGAUAUAAACAGCAGUUGACUUCCCUGACUUGGCUCCUCCUUAAUUUGUGAAGUCAGCUGAAC